CUGGCUUCAGUGGCACGUGUGCUAAAAUUGGAACGAUACAGAGAAGAUUGGCAUGGCCUCUGUGCAAGGAUGACAAGGAAAUUCAUGAAGCGGUCCAUAAAAAA